UACGGGGGAGCAAGCGUUGUUCGGAUUUACUGGGCGUAAAGGGCGCGUAGGCGGCCACUGCAAGUCAGUUGUGAAAUCUCCGGGCUUAACCCGGAAAGGUCAACUGAUACUGCAGGGCUAGAGUGCAGAAGGGGCAACUGGAAUUCUCGGUGUAGCGGUGAAAUGCGUAGAUAUCAGGAAGAACACCCGUGGCGAAGGCGGCUCUCUGGGACGGUACUGACGCUGAGACGCGAAAGCGUGGGGAGCGAACAGG
rnacentral:rRNA from 1 species